rnacentral:lncRNA from 1 species
GUACUUCUCUCACUUACUAUCCCCCCACAUCAAGUCCCUCACCUCAAAGCACAAAGGAUCCUGGAGCUGGAAACCUGGGGUCAUCCUGGAGCCCCUUAAAAGUCACCGAGGCUCCCCAGUUCCUCUUCUCAUCCUCUGAGACACUUUCCACUCCCAUCCGCUGUUCCGGCUGCACCCUUGGCACCAACCCAGCCCGCUGCCCUGCCCCCUCCCAUCACCCACAGGUGGGAGGGGGACAGGGAGGACUCCAUGGGCAGUAGCUGGGGGGACAGAGGGCGGCAGGGGAGGAGGAGGUGCAAGGGAAGGGGCCUGCCAUUGCAGAGGCGCUCAGUGAUGGUCGGAUAACGGGCAGUGAUGACAC